rnacentral:rRNA from 1 species
AUUGAACGCUAGCGGCAUGCCUAACACAUGCAAGUCGAACGGAGCGGCGGACCGGUGAGUAAUGCAUCGGCAUGUGCCUGGUCGUGGGGUAUAACUUCCCUACACGUUCGCUAAUACCGCAUACUUUACGCUCUGCCUAGGUGGGAUUAGCUAGUUGGUGGGGGAACGGACUCCCAAGGCGACGCUCCGUAACUGGGCUGAGAGGAUGAGAAGCCAAAAUGGAACGGAGACACUGUACAGACGCCGAGGGGAGUCAGCAGUGGGGAAGAUUGGACAAGGGGCGAAAGCCGGAUCAAGCCAUGCCGCGUGUGUGAAGAAGGUAUUCGGAUUGUAAAGCACUUUGAGUUGGGAGGCGGUACCAAAAGAAUAAGCACCGGCUAACUUCGUGCCAGCAGCCGCGGUAAGAC